rnacentral:rRNA from 1 species
UACGGAGGGUGCAAGCGUUAAUCGGAAUUACUGGGCGUAAAGCGCGCGUAGGCGGAAUAUUAAGUCUCAUGUGAAAGCCCUGGGCUCAACCUGGGAACUGCAUGGGAUACUGGUAUUCUAGAAUACAGUAGAGGGAGGUGGAAUUUCAGGUGUAGCGGUGAAAUGCGUAGAGAUCUGAAGGAACAUCAGUGGCGAAGGCGACCUCCUGGACUGAUAUUGACGCUGAGGUGCGAAAGCGUGGGGAGCAAACAGG